UACAGGGGGUGCAAACGUUGCUCGGAAUCAUUGGGCGCAAAGCGCACGUAGGCGGUUCGUUAUGUCGGAUGUGAAAGCCCUUGGCUUAACCGAGGAAGUGCAUCCGAAACUGGCGAGCUAGAGUACGAAAGAGGAUCGCGGAAUUCCCGGUGUAGAGGUGAAAUUCGUAGAUAUCGGGAGGAACACCGGUGGCGAAGGCGGCGAUCUGGGUCGAUACUGACGCUGAGGUGCGAAAGCGUGGGGAGCAAACAGG
rnacentral:rRNA from 1 species